AUUGAACGCUGGCGGCAGGCCUAACACAUGCAAGUCGAACGGCAGCACAGAAGAGCUUGCUCUUUGGGUGGCGAGUGGCGGACGGGUGAGUAAUGUCUGGGAAACUGCCCGAUGGAGGGGGAUAACUACUGGAAACGGUAGCUAAUACCGCAUAACGUCGCAAGACCAAAGUGGGGGACCUUCGGGCCUCACACCAUCGGAUGUGCCCAGAUGGGAUUAGCUAGUAGGUGGGGGAAUGGCUCACCUAGGCGACGAUCCCUAGCUGGUCUGAGAGGAUGACCAGCCACACUGGAACUGAGACACGGUCCAGACUCCUACGGGAGGCAGCAGUGGGGAAUAUUGCACAAUGGGCGCAAGCCUGAUGCAGCCAUGCCGCGUGUAUGAAGAAGGCCUUCGGGUUGUAAAGUACUUUCAGCGGGGAGGAAGGCGGUGGAGUUAAUAACUUCACCGAUUGACGUUACCCGCAGAAGAAGCACCGGCUAACUCCGUGCCAGCCGCCGCGGUAA
rnacentral:rRNA from 1 species